CCUACGGGCGGCAGCAGUCGAGAAUCAUUCACAAUGGGGGAAACCCUGAUGGUGCGACGCCGCGUGGGGGAAUGAAGGUCUUCGGAUUGUAAACCCCUGUCAUGUGGGAGCAAAUCAAAAAGAUAGUACCACAAGAGGAAGAGACGGCUAACUCUGUGCCAGCAGCCGCGGUAAUACAGAGGUCUCAAGCGUUGUUCGGAAUCACUGGGCGUAAGGCGUGCGUAGGCUGUUUCGUAAGUCGUGUGUGAAAGGCGCGGGCUCAACCCGCGGACGGCACAUGAUACUGCGAGACUAGAGUAAUGGAGGGGGAACCGGAAUUCUCGGUGUAGCAGUGAAAUGCGUAGAUAUCGAGAGGAACACUCGUGGCGAAGGCGGGUUCCUGGACAUUAACUGACGCUGAGGCACGAAGGCCAGGGGAGCGAAAGGGAUUAGAUACCCGAGUAGUC
rnacentral:rRNA from 1 species